UGGGGAAUUUUGGACAAUGGGCGCAAGCCUGAUCCAGCCAUACGGCGUGAGUGAAGAAGGCCUUCGGGUUGUAAAGCUCUUUCAGACGGAAAGAAACGGUCGCGGCCAAUACCCGCGACUAAUGACGGUACCGUAAGAAGAAGCACCGGCUAACUACGUGCCAGCAGCCGCGGUAAUACGUAGGGUGCGAGCGUUAAUCGGAAUUACUGGGCGUAAAGCGUGCGCAGGCGGUUUGGUAAGACAGAUGUGAAAUCCCCGGGCUUAACCUGGGAACUGCAUUUGUGACUGCCAGACUAGAGUGUAGCAGAGGGGGGUAGAAUUCCACGUGUAGCAGUGAAAUGCGUAGAUAUGUGGAGGAAUACCGAUGGCGAAGGCAGCCCCCUGGGCUAACACUGACGCUCAUGCACGAAAGCGUGGGGAGCAAACAGGAUUAGAUACCCCCGUAGUCCCUGAGCGGGCUGGCAAGGCGCAU
rnacentral:rRNA from 1 species